rnacentral:misc_RNA from 3 species
ACACCCUCAAGCACUGCUUGGUGUUGGGCGUCUGUCCCGCCUUUGCGCGUGGACUCGCCCCAAAGUCAUUGGCAGCGGUCUCUGGCACCUCAACGCGCAGUACAAUGCGUUCAUUGGGGUGCCGUGGGCGCGACCAUAAAGCUAUUUACCGU